UGCAUAGGAUAACGUUCAGGUGCUCGCAAGAGCUUAAUAGGGAAGCCGGUGUAAGUCCGGCACGGUCCCGCCACUGUAAUUGGGGAGCAUCCUCUAACAUGCCACUGUGUCAAAUGGGAAGGCAGAGGAUGUGAUGAUCCAUGAGUCAGGAGACCUGCCUGUCAUGUUUUCCAUAC
rnacentral:ncRNA from 2 species